rnacentral:tRNA from 1 species
GGAGAUUUAGCUCAGCAGUAGAGCGCUUGCCUAGCAAGCACAAGGCCCUGGGUUCGGUCCCCAGCUCCG